GAUGAACGCUGGUGGUAUGCUUAACACAUGCAAGUUGAACGAUGGCUUUUCGAAGUCAUAGUGGCGGACGGGUGAGUAACGCGUAAGUUAUCAACGCUUGGGUGAGGGAUAACAAAUGGAAACGUUUGCUAAUACCCCGUAAUACUGAAAAGUUAAAGUAUGAAUAAUACUCCCGAGUACGAGCUUGCGUCUGAUUAGCUUGUUGGUGGGGUAAAGGCUUACCGAGGCUACGAUCAGUAGCUGGUUUGAGAAAACGAUCAGCCACACUGGAACUGAGACACGGAACAGACUCCUACGGGAGGCAGCAGUGGGGAAUAUUUCGCAAUGGGCGAAAGCCUGACGAAGCAAUACCACGUGGAGGAUGAAGGCCUUUGGGUUGUAAACUCCUUUUCUCAUUGAAGAAGAUCUGACGGUAUUUGAGGAAUAAGCAUCGGCUAAUUCUGUGCCAGCAGCCGCAGUAACAC
rnacentral:rRNA from 1 species